rnacentral:rRNA from 1 species
UACGGAGGGUGCGAGCGUUUGUCCGGAUUUAUUGGGUUUAAAGGGUGCGUAGGUGGGUUAAUAAGUCAGUGGUGAAAUACGGUUGCUCAACAAUCGAGGUGCCAUUGAUACUGUUAAUCUUGAAACAAGUUGAGGUUGCCGGAAUGGAUGGUGUAGCGGUGAAAUGCAUAGAUAUCAUCCAGAACACCGAUUGCGAAGGCAGGUGACUACGUUUUGAUUUGACACUGAGGCACGAAAGCAUGGGGAGCAAACAGG